GUAACAACAGGUUCGUCAUUGACUUAGUUUUAAUCGUGGAAAUAUUUUAUUCAAAGUUUAUUGCUAUUGUUGAAAGUUGACUACAAUCCUACAUGGAAAAAUAUAAUGAAGAACAUUGGAUGUUGCCAAACCAACAGGAGCAAUGUCGUCUGCAAACAAGUCAGAUCGGCUGUAGUAAGACCUACGUCACCAUAAUUCGUGCAUUCUAAAAACACAGGAGGGUCACUGAAUCUGCCCCCGUCAUCGCCAACGGGAAUCUCAAAUGACAAGGGAUAUUGGACACUUGUUGCUGACUGGAUAAAAGUAGAUAUAGCAGUGAGGAUAGAAGGAACAUACAUGUAUGCUGUCUACACUAGAAACCUGUCUUCUGCAGUGACUGCAUCUUUUAGCUGCUCAAGAUAUGAUGUGUAAGCAUAAAACAUAUUCCAGUACCAGCAUAAUUUACAAUAUUGUAGCUUACAAUUUUAGGAAAUUUUAAAUUGUCAACUGUCAAAUUUAAUUUGAACUAUUUCAGUUUAUAAGUUUAGAGACCUCAGAAAUUGGAACAUUCUUAUAUCCAUAAGAAGGAAAUAAACAUAAAAAGUUUACAAUGUCCUGACUAAAAGAGGGCACUAUUUGCAGACAGAGAAGGUGCUACUGGUAUUUUCUUGAAGGAGGACCUGCAUGUAUUUGCUGUGUCAAUAUUGCACUUGCACACUGUCAAUAGCUUCUCUCGCGCAGGUGCUUCUCUCACUGGGGAUCAUUUAAUGGGGGUUUCAAUUUCUGACUUUCCAAUAAGGGCAGGGAGCCCAAAUAGAAGAUUUCAAAUGAAGACACUCAAGCUAAAGAGGGUAAUACAUGUAAGAUGCCGAACCAAAUUACUUAAGAUGUGCAGUCUGCUUUAUUAACAUUUGAAGAAGACUCCUGCAUAACACCGCCUGAAGCAUUCAAAACAUCUAGGUCUUGAUCAGAGAGAGUUUCACGCCCCUCAUGUCUGAUAUGAAUUCAG